rnacentral:lncRNA from 1 species
CUGUGGCACUCACUGAGACAGCAGACCUAUCUGCCAUUUCCAUCAAGCGCUGUGCUGACAGAGCAGCCUCGUGACUAUUGUAAAAGGGACUUUUCAAUCACAUGUGAAACACCCCGUUUGGGGGCUAUAUAACCACUACGUGGGCCCCACUUCUUCGGUGCCCUUUCUUCCUUCAGGAAGAAAGGCCCUGGGCCAUGGUUCCUCAUAAAGCUUUGUUUAAUUUUCUCUUGCUAUUCUGUCUCAUGUGAAUUUAAUUCGUUCUCCGGCCAGACGAACCCCCAUUUGGGAAGAGGAAAUGUCCUCCUCCCCUACAGUUUUGGCGUAGUCGGCAGGAUGAAAUUUCACUGGCUGGACACUGCUUGCUCCUGGACUGCUGUGGCCGAGAGAUCCUGGACCCCUGACGAGAGCCGGCAAGAGGCCUUUGCCUCUUGCUUCCCUGCCUGGCUCACCUGUGCUGGCUCAGGGACUAAGUGCCCUGGGCUAAGUGGGAUUUGACUAGAUCUUAUAACUAUGUUGAUGCCUGCAGUCAGGCGCCUUUGCACCCUUUCUCUGGCCUUGUCAGUCGGACAC